rnacentral:rRNA from 1 species
UACGAAGGGGGCUAGCGUUGCUCGGAAUCACUGGGCGUAAAGCGCACGUAGGCGGCUUCUUAAGUCAGGGGUGAAAGCCUGGAGCCUCAACUCCAGAACUGCCUUUGAUACUGAGGAGCUUGAGUCCGGGAGAGGUGAGUGGAACUGCGAGUGUAGAGGUGAAAUUCGUAGAUAUUCGCAAGAACACCAGUGGCGAAGGCGGCUCACUGGCCCGGUACUGACGCUGAGGUGCGAAAGCGUGGGGAGCAAACAGG